GCUUGUCUCAAAGAUUAAGCCAUGCAUGUCUAAGUAUAAAUACCUUAUACUGUGAAACUGCGUAUGGCUCAUUAAAUCAGUUAUAGUUUAUUUGAUGAUACCUCACUACAUGGAUAACCGUAGUAAUUCUAGAGCUAAUACAUGCAUCAUCCCCCAUCUCGGGGUGUAUUUAUUAGAUGGAAACCAAUGCGGGGCAACCCGGUAAAUGGUGAUUCAUAAUAACUUUCGGAUCGAUCUUCGGAUCGAUGCAUCAUUCAAGUUUCUGCCCUAUCAGCUUUGGAUGGUAGGGUAUUGGCCUACCAUGGCUUUAACGGGUAACGGAGAAUUAGGGUUCGAUUCCGGAGAGGGAGCCUGAGAAAUGGCUACCACAUCCAAGGAAGGCAGCAGG
rnacentral:rRNA from 1 species